UUAAAUUAUACUUUGCGUCUUACAUUUUCUUCCGUUGCCUAGCGACAGGCGAAUGACGCGCCAGAUGCAUGCGUCAUACGUCAGACACGCCGCCGAAGCGAGCGAGACCGGCUGCGCAUCUCAGCGGUGGCCUGUUCGGCGACCCGUCUGCCUGUUUUUCUAUUUUUGGAUUUAGCCUGGUUUGUUGGGCUCCCGGCGAAUUCUUGCGUUCCUUCUGCACUUCGACACGGCACCACUGCACUAUUGGACUACGGCAAGCUGACGCCGUCCGGUGGAGCUUCGUACAGGAACUACUGCUGCUUACCUGGUGCCACAACGUUGCACAAAUGCACAAAAAGCCCGCAACGAGCAUUUAUAUAGAAUAAAAUAAACAUUCCCUCAUUUCACAA